ensembl:lncRNA
GGUGACUACACUUGUAGCAGAACUGAUGAUUCACUUCCAGUUCAGUGCUGAAACAGCCUUGGCCCAGCACUUCAUUUGAUAGUUCAAGUAUUCUUUUCUUGGGUUAAUUCAGUACUUUAUUAAUAAAAAGCUUAGCUUCAGUGAUGUUUGCUUGGUUUUAGGUGAGUUUAUUUUAAAAGCUCUAAUGAAAUAUUUAAAGCCGAAACUGAUACUGGACCCAUCUCUCUGGAGCAACACUGCUCUAAAACCUUGGAGGACUUGGAGCCAGUCAGUUGAAAGGCAAUUUCCCCCACAAUAAAUCUGUGCUCUCACACACUGGGAAGCUGUUAACAGGGAGAGUGGGGAACUCAGCUCAGAGAGUGUCUGACAGCAGAGGACCACACAAGGUGCGAGGUAGAGUAGAACUGAGCCAUAAAUUAUCACUUCAUUAUGUUACUAUUCAAAUAGCCUUUGGGAUCAAGGUUGCCUUCCUCCCACCGUGAAUUUUGCUGUCUUCCACCUUGUCUUCCUCAGUCCCCUGUAGUCUGGUGAAGAGAUACUUCACAUGUGAACAUCAGAGAUUUCCAUGGGCUCACCACUUCUCCUCAUUUCUAGCAUGUCCUUGCAGGUGGCAUCAACAGAAAAUGAGGAGUUGGGACUUCUAGAGUCACAGAAUAUCCUGAUUUGAAAGGGACAUACAAGGAUCAUCAAAUCCAAGUCCUGGCUCCGUGACCCAAAAGUUAAACUACAUUUAUUGAAUCACAUAAUAUCCAUAUAUUAUAUAGACAAAUAUAGCAACAUGCCCAUAUGGCUCCAUAGAGGUGUCUUUGGUGUGGACUUCACUGCAUGGCAGACAUAUGCAUUUGGGAGCAGUACAAAUGACACAGGAAUCUGCAUUUUGGAGUAGGUUGUCAUGGCAGUGGUGAGCAGAAAGACCGUGUGAAUUGGUAAAUAAAAACAGGUCAUUCAAGUUUUGAAUUAAUUUCUAAGACCCACCGGCAUAUUUAUGAUUAACUUACAUGUUUUUAGGAUGUCACAGAAUCAUAGAAUGGCCUGAGUUGAAAAGGACAAUAAUGAUCAUCUAGUUUCAAUGUCACAGACGCAGGAUCUUUGUCUUUCAGUACAUGGUCCACCAUCAGGCAAAAGCAACACUGCUUCAACUAUGUUCUCCCUAGCAAUGAAAAUGCAAUGAAAACCAAAAACCUUAACAACGUGUAGCAAGAUGAGGGAGGACUUUCAAUGUCUGCUCUCCUACAUAAUUGCAGUCUGUGAUAUCCAUCUGAUAGAGACCUCUGUGUGAUCAUCCCUCUGGGUAGGCACCUGUGCACCUUCUGAUCAGCACAAGUUCUCAUCUGUUCACAUUGAUCCUCUGUCAAAAGUUAUUUCUGUCAACCCCCAAGGAGACCACAAAGGCUUAUCAAGCAAUGGACACUCAGAACUGGUAAAAAUGUAAGAGAACAGCAUGCAGUAUUUAAAACCAUUUUCAGUGCAGCUACAACAAGCAAAGACCAGCUGCAGGAUGCGGAUCCUCAUUCAGCCUUGAGUUUACUUUGCUCUUGCAGAAAGACAGGAAGGCAGUAGAGAGAGCAUGAUCAGUUGUGCCAAAUCUCCAGAGCAGGGCUUAUAUUUAUGGACCACGUUAAAAACUGUGGCAGAAGGAAAUCCACAAGUUGGAAAGCCAUGCUGGCUGCAGCUCUGUGGGAAACAACAAGGCAGAAAAGCAAAAUUUGUCAAAUGGAUGAGAAAAAAUAUGGUAAGGCUGCUUUUUUUGUUUUUUGUUUUUUGUUUGUUUGUUUGUUUGUUUGUUUGUUGUUUUUUUUAAUCGAGUUUCCAAGGUUGUUUUACAAACAAUGAAGCACAGGGGAAAAUGUAGACUUUGUUUCUAAAAAUAGUUUGUGGCCAAAAAGGCCAAUGCAGUUCAAACAGUGUUGAAAUCAGUGAAGGAUGGAUAUUGGCUUCCAGUACUUGGUUCUAGCAGAUCUCUCCCAGCAUACCCCCAGAGUAGCAUGGAUAUCAGUGUUCUCAUUCCCUUCAUCUGGACAAACUCACUUCCUUCUCUUGCUUAUUGCAAUUAAUGUAACUGGCAGCAUUAGGCUCUUGUUUCUCUCUAUAUCUGCCCAACCAGCUCUUACUUCUCUCCCCACCAAAGAUGCAACAAAACACUUUUAUUAUCUGCUUAACUUACAGAACUGAAGAGGAGCUGUUGCAAACCUGAUCUUCUGGCAGCUAGAAUAUCAUGCAGGAUUUGCCAAAGGACGUAGUCUCAUCCCUUCGAAGGAUAGGAGAUCUCAAUAUCACCAACAUAGGAUAGUUUGCAUAAAUGAAGUAAACAAUCUGAUUCCGAAGAGGAGAACUCUCUGAAGGUAAUGGCCCUUCACUAUCUAGAGAACCAGGCACAAGAAGGGAAAUCCUGUGUCCCAGAUCCCAAAGGAGAAUUAUUGUAUUACAUCAGGAGAGCCU